rnacentral:rRNA from 1 species
CCUACGGGAGACAGCAGUGAGGAAUAUUGGUCAAUGGUCGGGAGACUGAACCAGCCAAGCCGCGUGAGGGAGGAAGGUACAGAGUAUCGUAAACCUCUUUUGUCAGGGAACAAAGGCGGGGACGUGUCCCCGGCUGAGUGUACCUGAAGAACAAGCAUCGGCUAACUCCGUGCCAGCAGCCGCGGUAAUACGGAGGAUGCGAGCGUUAUCCGGAUUUAUUGGGUUUAAAGGGUGCGCGGGCGGUCUGUUAAGUCAGCGGUCAAAGCCCGGGGCUCAACCCCGGCCCGCCGUUGAAACUGGCAGUCUCGAGUUGGAGAGAAGUAUGCGGAAUGCGCGGUGUAGCGGUGAAAUGCAUAGAUAUCGCGCAGAACUCCGAUUGCGAAGGCAGCAUGCCGGCUCCACACUGACGCUGAGGCACGAAAGCGUGGGUAUCGAACAGGAUUAGAUACCCUUGUAGUC